UGCCCUAGUAACGGCGAGUGAAGCGGCAACAGCUCAAAUUUGAAAUCUGGCUCUUUUAGAGUCCGAGUUGUAAUUUGCAGAGGGCGCUUUGGCUUUGGCAGCGGUCCAAGUUCCUUGGAACAGGACGUCACAGAGGGUGAGAAUCCCGUACGUGGUCGCUGGCUAUUGCCGUGUAAAGCCCCUUCGACGAGUCGAGUUGUUUGGGAAUGCAGCUCUAAAUGGGAGGUACAUUUCUUCUAAAGCUAAAUAUUGGCCAGAGACCGAUAGCGCACAAGUAGAGUGAUCGAAAGAUGAAAAGCACUUUGGAAAGAGAGUCAAACAGCACGUGAAAUUGUUAAAAGGGAAGCGCUUGCAGCCAGACUUGCUUACAGUUGCUCAUCCGGGCUUUUGCCCGGUGCACUCUUCUGUAGGCAGGCCAGCAUCAGUUUGGGCGGUAGGAUAAAGGUCUCUGUCACGUACCUCCUUUCGGGGAGGCCUUAUAGGGGAGACGACAUACUACCAGCCUGGACUGAGGUCCGCGCAUCUGCUAGGAUGCUGGCGUAAUGGCUGUAAGCGGCCCGUCUUGAAACACGGACCAAGGAGUCUAACAUCUAUGCGAGUGUUUGGGUGUCAAGCCCGAGCGCGUAAUGAAAGUGAACGGAGGUGGGAACCCGCAAGGGUGCACCAUCGACCGAUCCUGAUGUCUUCGGAAGGAUUUGAGUAAGAGCAUGGCUGUUGGGACCCGAAAGAUGGUGAACUAUGCUUGAAUAGGGUGAAGCCAGAGGAAACUCUGGUGGAGGCUCGCAGCGGUUCUGACGUGCAAAUCGAUCGUCA
rnacentral:rRNA from 1 species